rnacentral:rRNA from 1 species
CCUACGGGGGGCAGCAGUGGGGAAUUUUGGACAAUGGGCGAAAGCCUGAUCCAGCAAUGCCGCGUGUGGGAAGAAGGCCUUCGGGUUGUAAACCACUUUUGUACGGAGCGAAACGGUUCGCUUUAAUACAGUGGGCUAAUGACGGUACCGUAAGAAUAAGCACCGGCUAACUACGUGCCAGCAGCCGCGGUAAUACGUAGGGUGCGAGCGUUAAUCGGAAUUACUGGGCGUAAAGCGUGCGCAGGCGGUUAUAUAAGACAGUUGUGAAAUCCCCGGGCUCAACCUGGGAAUUGCAUCUGUGACUGUAUAGCUAGAGUACGGUAGAGGGGGAUGGAAUUCCGCGUGUAGCAGUGAAAUGCGUAGAUAUGCGGAGGAACACCGAUGGCGAAGGCAAUCCCCUGGACCUGUACUGACGCUCAUGCACGAAAGCGUGGGGAGCAAACAGGAUUAGAUACCCCAGUAGUC